rnacentral:rRNA from 1 species
AACGAACGCUGGCGGCAUGCCUAACACAUGCAAGUCGAACGAGACCUUCGGGUCUAGUGGCGCACGGGUGCGUAACGCGUGGGAACCUGCCCUUAGGUUCGGAAUAACUCCCCUAAAGGGGUGCUAAUACCGGAUAAUGUCUUCGGACCAAAGAUUUAUCGCCUUUGGAUGGGCCCGCGUUGGAUUAGCUAGUUGGUAGGGUAAAAGCCUACCAAGGCGACGAUCCAUAGCUGGUCUGAGAGGAUGAUCAGCCACACUGGGACUGAGACACGGCCCAGACUCCUACGGGAGGCAGCAGUGGGGAAUAUUGGACAAUGGGCGAAAGCCUGAUCCAGCAAUGCCGCGGGAGUUAUGAAGGGCUUAGGGUUGUAAAGCUCUUUUACCCGGGAUGAUAAUGACAGUACCGGGAGAAUAAGCUCCGGCUAACUCCGUG